rnacentral:lncRNA from 1 species
GCCAGUGGCAAAGAGGGCCCACACGCUCUGUGGAGCACGGGAGUGAUGUGCCUUGGAGAGUGUGGUCCAGCAGCGGGCCUGGGAUGAAGGCGCCCAUGGGGAAGGGCUGUGGAAAGAAACAGUUCCACGUAUGUGUCAGUUGGGACUGGUGCUUGCAGCUUAAAUUGAUUCAAGGAAAAUAAAAAACAAAACAAACCAACAAAAUAAAAAUGAUUGUGAGUGUGUGGAAGGGGUCAUUUAUUAAUGCUAUGAAAAAUUACAUGAGGUCAAAAGGACUUUGUUUUUCUUAGUCUUUGGGCAGCACUUUCUUGUGCUGGUUGCUCCCAGGGGCAGGUUUUCCCUGCAUAAUGGUUCCCAAGGGUGCUCAGAUUCCAUCCUGUAGGGAGAAAGGCCUUUGCUUUUUCAAUGGUCCAAGCUAAAGUCUUGAAUUGGGCUUUACUGGCAGUCCUGGGUUCUGUGCUUCCCCCAAACUGGGGUUCAGGUCAGGCCCACCCAAGUCCAUAGCCUGAGAGUAAGGGAGGGGCUUCACUCAGAGUGGGGACAAUCUCAUGGGAUCACGAUGGCUUCAGAUGGGCAACUUUCUGUUCUGUUGAAUAAUGAUCUAUAGUCAAGAGCUUGUGGAUCACACAGUGGUCACCCAAAGUAUUCUGGACCUCACAUUUCCUUUCUGCUCUGUAAUAAGCUUGGAUUGGCAAUUCAGUUCCCUGACAGUCUCAUUCUAACUGGUGAUUUUGGAUUUUUUUAAAAAAUAAGUUAGGAAUACUGAUAAAUACAGUGUAUGUUAUAGAGAGGAACAUAAAGUAGUAUUCUUUUUCUUUUUUUAAUGUAAGUUUCUUAUUGGAAAGCCAGGUUUGAGUGUCUAAGAUUUCCACCACCCAACAGGUGACACCCACCAUUUCUUGUAACCUGUUGAGAGCCACAGCCGAAGGGGCCCCAGCAAACUCCCAGCUGCCAGCAAACUUCCAGCUGCCAGCUGAUGAUUGGCUCACAGCGGCCCCAGCAAACUUCUAGCUGCCAACUGAUUGGCUCCUCUGUGGUGAUGCUCAUUGGGCUGUUUCCCCGCCCUUUCAGACCACUGAGCUGCUCAUUGGGGGACCUUUUUUGGCUCCUUCCUGGCAACCCAGCCAAUCGGCCUCAAGAGCAGGAGGAGUGGGGGAGGUGGAGAGGCUUGUGGGAAGCCGGUGGUGGCAGUUGGGCUCUGAGGGUUUUCCUGAGGAGCUGUGUGGUUUGGUGUGUGUGUUCUAAAAAUAAAGUUCGUUUCUUUUGACAAGUGGCUCCUGAAUUGGGCCCAGCCAGACUGCGGCAGUAACCCAAAGUGGUUAUAUACACAAACCCAGGGACAAGUGUUUCUCCAUCCCCUCCUGCUGUGCUUCCUUCCUGGGGUGAGGCCACCAGAUAGAAAAGAUGAU